rnacentral:rRNA from 1 species
CGAACGGGUGGAGUAACAACGUGGGGCGAACCUAGCCCAAAANAGGGGAGUAACACUUGGAAACAGGUGCUAAUACCGCAUAACCAUAGUUACCGCAUGGUAACUAUGUAAAAGGUGGCUAUGCUACCGCUUUUGGAUGGGCCCGCGGCGCAUUAGCUAGUUGGUGGGGUAAAGGCUUACCAAGGCAAUGAUGCGUAGCCGAACUGAGAGGUUGAUCGGCCACAUUGGGACUGAGACACGGCCCAAACUCCUACGGGAGGCAGCAG